GGUCCAGUCGCUAGCUGAGAUCUGCUGGGCUUCUCUGGGUUUGGUAACUUUGAUACAUGUCUGCUUCAAGAGGAUGAUGGGCAUCUAAGACGCUCCUUAUGUGCCAUUUGGCAAGAAGCUGCUCUCGCCUGGACUGCUUGACGGUAUGUUGUAUAAACUGGAUAUGCAGGACCCACAGGAAAAUGACCGUUGAACAUUGUCAAAACAAGGGGACAGUCCUUCAGGGUUCCUGCUUCGCAGAAGAAACUGUCAGACAUUCUGCAGGACACAGAGAAAAGUGACCGACAAACUGCCAAUAUAGGCAGGACGGUCUUUCAAAUUUCUGCUUCACUGAAAAGUCUGUAACACAAAAAACAAAAAACCAGAGGACAGAUACUGGGGUCCAAGCUGUUGAUCAAAAAGCAGAUGGACACUCGCUCUUACCUCCACCUCAGGCUGAAAGGGCUGUCCUGUCCUCACUAAUCCUCCGAGGACGAUGCUGACUGCACUGCUCUCCACUAAGCCUCAGAUUGCAAUCCUAUGCCUUCCCUGUCUGGAAUCUCCACACGAGACCCUUUGCUUCUUCUUUGUAUACCUCUCUC